GACGAACGCUGGCGGCGUGCUUAACACAUGCAAGUCGAACGGAAAGGCCCUGCUUUUGUGGGGUGCUCGAGUGGCGAACGGGUGAGUAACACGUGAGUAACCUGCCCUUGACUUUGGGAUAACUUCAGGAAACUGGGGCUAAUACCGGAUAGGAGCUCCUGCUGCAUGGUGGGGGUUGGAAAGUUUCGGCGGUUGGGGAUGGACUCGCGGCUUAUCAGCUUGUUGGUGGGGUAGUGGCUUACCAAGGCUUUGACGGGUAGCCGGCCUGAGAGGGUGACCGGCCACAUGGGGACUGAGGUACGGCCCAGACUCCUACGGGAGGCAGCAGUGGGGAAUAUUGCACAAUGGGCGGAAGCCUGAUGCAGCAACGCCGCGUGCGGAAUGACGGCCUUCGGGUUGUAAACCGCUUUCGCCUGUGACGAAGCGUGAGUGACGGUAAUGGGUAAAGAAGCACCGGCUAACUACGUG
rnacentral:rRNA from 1 species